rnacentral:rRNA from 1 species
UACGAAGGGGGCUAGCGUUGCUCGGAAUCACUGGGCGUAAAGCGCACGUAGGCGGAUUUGUUAGUCAGGGGUGAAAUCCUGGGGCUCAACCCCAGAACUGCCUUUGAUACUGGCGAUCUCGAGUCCGGAAGAGGUGAGUGGAACUCCUAGUGUAGAGGUGGAAUUCGUAGAUAUUAGGAAGAACACCAGUGGCGAAGGCGGCUCACUGGUCCGGUACUGACGCUGAGGUGCGAAAGCGUGGGGAGCAAACAGG